UGCAGCCACUGGGUCAAUCCAUCUCGUCAACGGUCUUCCUCUUUUUCCCUGACCCUCUACUUUACCAAGCAUGAUGUCCUUCUCCAGGGACUGGUCCCUCCUGAUAACAUGUCCACAGAAUAUGAGACGAAGGCUCACCAUUCUCACUUCUAAAGAGCAUUCUGGCUGCAGUUCUUCCAAGGCUGGUUUAUUGGUUAUGUACAGAAAUAAAAGAAAAUAGAAUGUUGUGAAAGACAGAACGACUUCGCUGGAAGUGAAAAGGGGCAAUGAGGAAAAGGCCUCUCGGCUCACUUAACACAGAUGCUUCCUCUCUGUUACGUAACAGCUCAGAAACCAGCUCUUUAUUCUUGUCAAAGGAAACAUAAAAAAAAACUGUUUUUAAACAGUCGAACAUCCAAAUAUGUACAAAACCAAAAAACUGUUGCCUUCAAGUCAGUUUCAACUCAUGGCAACCCCACGUGUUAUAGUGUAGAGCCACUUUAUGGGGGUUUCUUGGCAACCCCACGUGUUAUAGUGUAGAUCCGCUUUAUGGGGGUUUCUUGGCUGUAGCCUUUACGGAAGCAGGUCGCCAGGCCUUUCUUCCACGGCACCACUGAGUGAGUUCGAACCGACAACCUUUUGGUUAGCCAUUGAGCGGAAGCCAUUUGCACCACCCGGGGACCUCCGCAAGUAUGUACACCUGGAGCAGAAACACUGGAGAGCAUAGGAAGCUGAAAAAUAAGAAUACCUAAUGUAAACAGAAUUAUUUGAUGACAUUUUUUAAAUGGCUCCACUCCUAGAAACAGCCACAGUCUUGGCUCUGCCUGCUUUUCCCUGUGGGCCUGGGAAGGUGGCUAUAACCACAGCAGGGAGGUCUGGUGGAUUUGGUAAAUCUCCAGGAAAUGCUAUACCGCUUUCUGCUCCUAAAAGACGUGGUGACUUGUGAAGGGAUAAGCUGCAGGUUGUUUAAGGGGAAGGAGCCCUGGUGGUGCAACAAUUAAGCACUUGUUUGCUAACUAAAAGGUUGGCGAGUCAAACCCACCCAGCAGUUCCAUGGGAGAAAAGAUCUGGCAAUCUGCUCCCAUAGAGAUGACAGCCUAGAAAACCCUAUGCGGCAGUUCUACUCUAUCACACGGGGUCGCUGUGAGUCAGAAUCCACGUGACAGCACCAACAACAACUUAAGGGGGAGGAAAGCAGCAGAGGGGCCAUCAGAGACACAGCCAGACUUAGAGACUUGACUGGAGGCUGAAGGUCUGCACCUCCCCAGGGCUUCCUAAGACCUCAAAGAGAAACAUAGUUCCCAGAGAGGGGAAAGGUUGUUUCCUUUUGUUAUUGGACCCCAACGUUGGAAAUGUGUUUCUAAUUUGUUCUAACCAUUGCUGUGUUUCCAAUUUUAUAUUAUACUUGACAUUGAUUUUUUUCUAAGUUUUUUUUCUUUUUCCUUUUUGAUCCUAAGCAGCUCAGAAAGGAAACCACAAUACUAAUUUUGCAAGCUUGAGGCUUUGGCCCCGUCUUCACGACACCUCAUUCUCUGACAGGCUUUAAAAUCUGGAGGUGUAGGGCCGGUUCAGCAGCCAGUGUACAAGCCAGCUGAGCCUCUCCCCUCCUGCUAUGAUGUUUCACCACCCUGCACUGCCUUUUGUCACAUACUCUGUCCCUUCUUCGGGGCAGAGCUACUAAAAGAAGGAAUUUCUCAUUUUGUUGUUGUUAGUGCUGGGUGCUGUGGGUCCCAUUCCGACUCACAGCAGCCCGAUGUGACAAAGGAGAACCACCCUGUCGUGUUUCCUAGGCUGUAAUCUCUAACAGGAGCAGAUCACCAGGUCUUUCUCUCGAGGAGUGGCUGGUGAGUUUAAACCACCUACCUUUUGGUUAGCAGCUGAGUGCUUUAACCACCGCGCCACCAGGGCUCUUCAGCAGUAAACAGCCCAGACACAACUCCCUGUCCUCAUGGAGCGUACGUUCUAAUACGGGGAUAUUUUCGUUGUUGUUGUGCUCUGUUCAGUCCGUUCUGACUCCCAAGGAUUCUACAGGACAGAGUAGAACUGUCCCAUAGGGCUUUCUAGACAAUAAUCUUCACAGAAGCAGAUCGCCAGGGCUUUCUCCCAUGGAGCAGCUGGGUGGGUUUGAACCACUAACCUUUAGGUUAGCAGCCAAGCUCUUAACUGUUGUACCAUCAGGGCUCCUCACAUGGACUACAAAAAAAACAAGAAACUCGCUGCUUUUGAGUCCGACUCACAGCUGCCCUAUAGGACAGGGUAGAACUGCCCCAUGUGGUUUCCAAGGAGCAGCUCGUGGAUUCAAACUGCUGACCUCUUGGUUAGCAGCCAUAGCUCUUAAUCACUGCGCCAGUCUAAGACCUCUACGCUCUGCCUCUAUGUUAUACACUUCUCCAGCCUAAACAAGCCACAACUCUGUCGUGUGAACUAGUACAAAAUGGUUUGUCAGAAAGUCGGACACUCUUCCCUGAAGGAGCUCUGUUGGUGAAAUGGCUAAGCAUGCAGAUGGGAAGUGAGUCAGAAUCGCCUCGAUGGCAAAGGGUUUGGUUUGGUUUCGGUGCCGCAAUUGCUUAAGCUCUUGACUGCUAAUUGAAAGGUUGGUGGUUCCAGCCCGCCCAGCAGCUCCCGAGGAGAAAGACCUGUGAUACGCUCCCGUGAAGACCACAGCUUAGAAAACCCUAUGGGGCAGUUUUACUCAGCACGCAUGGGGUCACCAUGAGUUGGAAUCGACGCGACAGCAGCUAACAACAAGGAGAGGCUGCCACUUUCCUCGGCCCGUGGCUUCAUCGCUCUGACCUCUGCUUCCAUCAUCCAUCCCCUUCUCUGACUCUGACCCUGCUGCCUCGCUCUUGGAAGAACCCUUGUGAUUACACUGGGCCCUUCCAGGUAAUCCAAGCUAGUCUCCCCAUCUCAAGAUCCUUAACUUCAUCGUAUCUACAAAGUGCCUUUUGCCACGUGAGGUAGAGGCGGUCAUCAUGAGUGAAAUGGAGGUGCAUUAAACCUGAGCACAGAACAGCACAAGAUGAGAAAGGUACUCAGCAAUGUAUUUAAACUUUGAAAAACUUUACCAAGGCCACCGAAGACAAGAAAGCCUCCUGGAUGAAAAUCUUCUCACCAACUCACGUGAAGGUUCUACAGAUUCUUCAGAGGACAGAUAUCCCGGGAACGAAAACCAGGCCAAGACAUUCAUCAAGAGAAGGAAAGGGAGCGCAUCCUGGGAAGAUGGCACAAAUACAACAAGGAAAUGGUUCUUGGCUUGAGGAACUCUGAAUCAGGGAGCAGAGGAAAGCAGUGGGGAACUGCAGACAGGCAAGUAUCAACAAGAAGUCACAUAUGGUAAGAAAAUCAUUUCUUCCACCAACCCUGCCCCUCCCCAGCCAUGCAGGCCUCCAGCUAUUGUCAACUGGGGAAGUGGUCCCAGCUAAAGAGCAGCUUCCCUAACCACACUCCCUGUCUGUACAAAGAGAGUGGACCCCAAACUUCUACUCUACAAUCAACAAGGCACGCCUCCCCAGUGGUCUGUUUGGAGUGUGCCGGACCUCCUCCACACAGACACUGUUGGCUGCAAGCCUACUGUGAAUUGCUACAGGAGACCCUGCAGUGGACUCCACUCUCAUAGUCCAUGCUCUACCUGCUUCCCUGGGCACCCCAUAGCUCAGGCUUCUGAAACCGACAGGGCAGACCUCCCUUGGGGACACUUUGGGUCUGUCUUCUCCACCUUCUGGUCAGCACUUAGGACUACUAACUGAGGCUGCUGGGUGCUAGGAAGCAUGCAUCUUGAGUGGAGUCUAUACCCACAGCUCACAUACUACAGGGCAGACUCUGAUAACAAAAAGGCAGACCUUCCUGGGGGUCCAUUUGGAGCAUGACAACCCCUCCUCCACCUGGUAAAUAUCAGAUGCUGGAUUGAUACAAAUUCCAACAGAAGGUUCCCUACAGUGGGGCCAGGAGGAAGGUCGCCUAAGUGGAGACUGCCCUCACCACCAUCACAGGGCCACUGGGGCUCUGAUACAAACAAAGCAGAUCUUGUGGAGGUGAGUGCCAGCCCCUCCUCCUCCUGAAAAGAAGAAAAGUUGGCUUGUGCUUCCCCUGAAUGUCAACUCAGAUAUAAGCAGAGAAGGAAGCCUCAGACAAAAACAAAAAAAAAACUCAACAACCCAGCCCAGAAGGGAGCUCACUGGGAGUGGGUUUUCUGACUGAAAACAUGCUUGUAGAAACAGAGAUGUGAAGGGACUAAUAAUCAGAGAGAGAGGACUACAUUCUUUGGUGAAUAUAUUGAUUAGUACACAAUAUCUUGUCUGAGAGGCAGUACUCGCUGGUGGACAGGCUGACCACAGGAUGUUCUCUGCUGUGUUUGGGAGACAUUGGAAGUUGAAAACUGAGAUAUGGGACUUUCAAAACCUAAUUAAACCAGGGAGGAAAAAGGAACUAUCACAGAGAGACAGAGGAAAUGGUAAGCAAAAACCAAAGGCUUUGCCUGCCAAAGAGAUUUUUUGCAAAAAGUAAUUCAGGCAAAAACACCAAAUGCUGGAAAGAACCAAGAAAGUUAAUACCCUCAAAAAUUCCAGUGCCCUAACAAAAAAUCACAAGACACACAAGGAACAAAGAAAUGAUGGCCCAUCCAAAUGAACACAACAAAGGGAGUGAAAGCACUUCUAGGGUUAACCAAAUAAUGAAAAAAAUGGAAGGAUAUAAUAUAACAACAUUAAGCAUAAUUAAAGAGUUAAACAAAAAAAUAGGCAAAGGUAUCAAAGAAAUAAGGAAAACAAUGCAAGAACAAAAUGAGAUUCUAAAAAAAGAGAUAUUGCAACUGAAGGGAACGAUAAAUGAGAAACACAACAGAAGGACUUUCCAACAGAUUUAAUAAGACAGAAGAAAGAAUCAGUGAAUUAAAGGAUAAGAUAGUGAAAAUUACCAAAGCUGAAGAGUAACAAGAAUGGAGGCUCAAAAAGGCUAAGCACAGUUUAAUGGAAGUAUGAGACAAAAACAAGAGACAUAAUAUGUGCAUCAUGGGAAUUCCAAUAGGAGAUGAGAGAGAAAGGGAGAGAAAGAAUAGUUGACAAAGUAAUGACAGAAAAUUUCCCCAAUCUAACAAAGGACAUGAAUCUACAAAUCCAAGAAGUACAAAGAACCCUAAGCAAGAUAAACCCAAAGAAAUCUACACGAAGAUACAUCAUAGUUAGGCUCUCAAAAAAGUAAAGAUAAAGAGAUUUAAUCCUGAAACCAGGGAGAGAGAAGCAAACAGUCACAUACAAAGGAUCCCCAAUAAGAUUAAGUGCCAACUUCUCCUCAGAAAUAUUGGAGGCCAGAAGGCAAUGUAAUGAAAUAUUUAAAGUGCUGAAAGAAAAAAACUGUCAACCAAGAAUACUAUACCCAGCAAAAAUUUCCUUCAAGAAUGAGGGUGAAAUUAAAACAUUCCCAGACAAACAGAAGCUGAGAGAGUUCGUAUCCACCAGACUGGCCCUAGAAAAAAUACUAAUGAUAUUUCUUUAGAUGGAAGGGAAAAGGCACUAGAAAGUAAUUAAAAGAAUUAUAUAAAAAGAAAGAUCCCUAAUAAAGGGAAUUGUAUAGACAAGUAGGAAACUCUGGUGGCAUAGUGGUUAAGUGCUAUGGCUGCUAACCAGGAGGUCAGCAGUUUGAAUCCACCAGGCGCUCCUUGGAAACUCUAUGGGGCAGUUCUACUCUGUCCUAUAGGGUCGCUAUGAGUCGGAAUUGACUCAACAGCACUGGGUUUGGUUUUUUGGUUUACUCUUUACAGGAGCAGAUCGCCAGGUCUUUUCUCCCUCAGAGUCACCAGUGAGUUUGAACAGCCAACCUCUCAGCUAGCAGCCAAGCGCUUAACCAUUGAGCCAUCAGGGCCCCUUAAGCCCCUCGGCAUCAGGUUAAAAAUAAACAUUCUGGUUCAGAGGUCUGAGCAGGCCUGCAAUUCUGCGUGUCUGACAAGCUUCCAGAUGGCCAGAGUUGCUGAGCUUAGAAGACCAUUUUGUUUUUCUUUCAAGUAUUUUGAAGAUGAUUGGGUCUUUAGAAACACGUGCCUUUUGAAAAGACCUCAGUGUUACCCACAAGCAGUUCCGGGAACCAGAGUAAACAUUUUCAAACAGAAGGGGGUGAAGUCAGCAGCUGGGAGGGUAUCAUGUUUUAGCUGUGCUCAUUGUCCCAAUUUUUUUCAGCUCUUGCCACAAGCACACACUGGAUGCCACCAAAAGGACUGUUCUCAAAAUAUACAUAACAAUGGAUUUUAUAAACACUGCUUGACAAAUUCUGCUUGUUCCUGAGACCACCAGGCCUGUUUUACCCCGACUUUAUUUUCCAUUGUGUAACUUCAGUUAUUGGAGGGGGUUUAAGAAGAUUUAAAUGUGGAAGCACAUAAACAGAAGCAGUUUCAUUGUCUAUUUUCUACAUUUAAUUGGACAGAAGUAAUACUUGUGAUUCUGCCUCCAUUUUAGGGUUUUCAUUUUCGACUUGGCAAAUUCAGUCAUUCUUACGUCCAAAGAGACUCCUGUAGAAAACGCUGCGGGCCCACAGCAUACCUAACAGUCUGGAGCAGACCAGGAAGAAGGGAAUACUGAGUCUGGCAGCUUUUUCAAGAUGUUUCAGAAAUGCUUAAUAUGUGUUGCUUCUUACCCAAGAAGCAGGGCUACAUGUUAUCUUCAUUGAAAAAUAUUAUCUUAUUUGGAGAAAAACAGGUUUACGUUGUGGCUAUGUACAAAGUACACCAAUUCUUAGAUUUAUCCCUUAUUUUCAGUUGUGAAAACUGCCUGCCACUUGGCUGCUAACCAGAAGGUUGGCCAUUUGAGUCCACCCAGAGGUGCCUCAGAAGACAGGUCUGGAGCACAGUUCUAUUCUGACACACACGGGGUUGCCAUGAGUCAGAAUCUACCUGACUGGCUCUGGUUAGACCAAGCCCUUGCCACCCCUUACUGUGUUUCGGUAACAUCCUCCUGGUUAGUGUCCUUGUCUCUAGGUUCUAGAUUCUAUCUCAUCCAAAUCUACUCUGAACUUACUUGCAAAAAUGGUCUCCUUGGCUUAAGGAGAUUAAGACCUUGUUAUGGAUUGAGUUGUGUCCCCCCAAAAUAUGCGUUGUAAAUCCUAAACCCCUAUAGCUGUGGAUGUAAUCCCAUUUGGGAAUAGGGUUUCUCUGUUACGCCAAUGAGGCUGUAUCAGUGUAGGGUGUGUUGUAAGCCAAUCACCUUCGACAUAUCAAAAGGGCAGAUUAGGCACAGAAGGAAGGAUACACAGACAGGGGAAGACAGACGUCACAUCAAGUGAAGAUGGCCAAGGAACUGAGGAGCAGAAGCUGAAAGGCGACAAAGACCUCUCCUCAGAGCCGACAGAGAGAGAAAGCCCUCCCCUAGAGCUGUCACCCUGAAUUCAGACUUCUAGCCUCCUAAGCUGUGAGAAAAUAAAUUUUUGUCAAAGCCACCCAAUUGUGGUAUUUCUGCUACGGCAGCACUAAGAAACUAAGACAGCCUUUAAGAACCAUUUCUUUCAUCAUUUUCCUUUUGCAAAACAUUUGCUCAAAACCCACAGUUGUCAACCUCUUACUCAAGACCUUUCAUUAAAUAGAUUAACAGUCACUCAGGUUUUGGGACCCCUUCUAUCCCUCAGCAAAGGCAACAUGAGGACUUAGGUCAGUAGGUCAGUCUUGUUUACUUUUCAUACUAAGUCUGUGUCAUCUAACUGUGAAUCCAAUCACUUCAAUAGAGAUAGGACUACGCAAGUAAUCUAUCUCUUCUUCAGUGAGUUUCAGUAGUUUGCAUCCUCCAAAGAAUUAUGUCUUGGUGAGUCUGUCUAGAGGUUUAUCAAUGUUAUUGAUCUUUUCAAAGAACUAGCAUUUGGUUUCCUAGAUUUUUGUAUUACUUUUUUGUUUUGUUUUGUUUCAGUUUUAUUGGUUCUGCUCUUAUCUUAUUAUUUGCUUCUUUCUGAUAACUCUGAGUUUAUUGUGGUCUUUUUUUUCUGGUUCCUUAAGAUGAAAGCACAGACUAUUGAUGUGAGGCCUCACUUCUACUAUAUGCAUUAAAUAACAUAUAUUUCCUUCUAAGCAUUGCUCUAGCUUCAUUUUGAUAUGUUGUAUUUUCAUUUUCAGUCAAAUCAAAAUAUUUGAUCAUUUCCUUUGAAAUGUGCUUUUUGACCCAUGGAUUAUUUAGAAGUACACAGUUUAAUUUCUAAGAAGUUGGGUAUUUUCCAGCUAUUUUUCCUUUAUUGAUUUUCUAGAGUAAUUCCAUUGUGGUCAGAGAACAUACUUCAUAUGACUUCAAUUCUUUUACAAAGGUUUGUUAAAGUUUGUUUUAUGACCUACAUCUUGGUAUGUGCUCCGUGUGCGCUCGAAAAGAAUGCGUACUUCACUGUUGUUUGGUGGAGUGGUGGUGUUUAGAGCCCUGGUGGCACAGUGGUUAAGAGCUGAUCUGCUAACCAAAAGGUCAAUAGUUCAAAUCCACCAGCCACUCCUUGGAAACCCUACGGGGCGGUUCUACCCUGUCCUGUAGGGUCACUGGUAGUUGGAAUCAACUCGACAGCAAUGGGUUUGUUUGUUUGUUUAUUUUGGUUUUUGUUGAUUUUUUUUUUGUCUACUUGUUUUAUUGCUGAAUGAGGACUCUUAAAAUCUCCAACUGUAACUGCGAAUUUAUUUCUCCUUAGAGUUCUGUCAGAUUAUAUUUUGAAUUCCUUUUGUUAGGUUCAUAUACAUUAUGAAUCCUGUAUCUUCUUGGUGUAUUGACCCUUUUAUCAUUAUGCAAUGACACUGUUUAUUCCUGGUCAUUUCCCUUGUUCUGACAUCCACUCUAAUAUUAAUGGAACCACUCUAGCCUUGUUUUAAUGUAUUUGCGUUGUAUAUAUUUCCCAUCUUUUUAUAUGUAACCUAUUCAUAUCAUUCUAUUUAAAGUGGGUUUCUUAACAUAUUUUGACACUUGGUUUUUUUUGUUUGUUUGCUUGUUCAAUCUAACCAUCAUGGUCUUUAUUUAUUGUGCUUAGAAGAUUUGCAUUUAAUGUGAUUAUUAAUAUAGUUGGAUUUAUAUCUACUGUUAUGUUGUUUUGUUUUCUGUUUGUCCCUUCUAUUUUUUUCUUGUCUCCCCUUUUCUACAUUAUUUGGACUAUUCAAAUAUAUCUUAGUAUUUUAUUUUAACUCAUUUAAUGGAUUUUUGUUUACAGCUCUUUGUGUCACUUUUAGUGGUUUUUCUAGGUAUUACUCUAUUAUUACUUCACUUUUCACAGUCUAUUAAAAAUAGUAUUUUACUUUUCCAAAUGAAAUGUAGAAAGCUUAGCCUCUAUUUUAUGUUAUAGUUGACAUAUAUAUUACAUCUACUACCAGAUGAUGUUAUAAUUUUUGCUAUCCAUCAUUGUAUGUAAUAUUUUAAAGACCUUGAGAGCAAAAGUAAUCUAUCACAUUGACCUAGAUCUUCACCAUUUCUUGGAAACUCGAUGGGGCAGUUCCACUCUGACCUACAGGGUCGCAAGGAGUCGUAAUCUACUCAACAGCACCGGGUUUUUUGGUUUGGUUACCAUUUCUGUUGCUCUUCUUUCACGCUUGAAAUUCCCAUUUUUCCCGAGAUAUAACUUCCUUUCCUCCUGCAAUACCCUCUGUAACAGUUCUUUUGGAGAAGGUCUGCUUUUUACUAGUUUUUAGUUUUCUUUCACCUGAGAAUAUUGCUAUGAUGCUUCCAUUUCCGAAAGAUAUUUUCACUGGAGAACCCUGGGUUGACCAGAUUAUUUUCUUUUACUACUUCAAAUAUGUUGUGUCACUUUCUACUAACCUCCUUAGUUUCCCAAGAGAAAUCCAGUCAUUCAACUGUGAUGUGGCAUUCUUUCUCUGGCAGCUUUCAGGAAUUUUUUAAACCAUUACUUUUCACCAGUUUGAUUAUGAUAUAUCUGGGCAUGGUUUCUUUUGAGUUUAUCCAGUUUGGAGUUCUUCAAGCAUCUCAAAUCUCUAAAUUUCUGUCUUUCAUCAAAUUCGGGAAUUUUUCAGCCACUAUUUCUUCAAAUAUUUGUUCUGUAAAAAUUACAUUGUCCUUUUUUCUGGAACUUAACUGACAUGAGUGCUAUACUAUUUUAUAUUAUCUCACAGAUCCCCGAGACUCUGUUAACUUUUUUUAUUAUAUUUUUUUCUCUCUGUUGUUUAGAUUGGAUAAUUUCUAUAGAUCUAUCUUCAAAGCCAUGGCUUUUUCACUCUAUCAUCUCCAUUCUCCUACUGAGCCAACCCAAUAGUAUCUUUAAGUGAGCUACUAUAUUUUUCAGUUCUAAAAUUUCCAUUUGGUUAUUUAUUACAGGCUUUUACUUCUCUGGUGAUAAUCACUGUCUUUCAUUUGUUUCAAGAACUGGAACUCUUAUAUAUGACUGGCCAGAUUUUAAAAUGGUGCCACCGCCUUGGAAAACCACUUGGCAGUCUCUUGAAAAAAGUCAAGCAUACAUCUACCAUGGAUCCCGUCCUUCCUCGCGUAGAUAUUUGCCCAGUAGUAAUGAAAACACAUACCCAUUCGAAGCUAAUAUAAAUUUCCCAGCGUCCUUUUUCUGAUUAUACAAAAACUGGAAACACCUCAAAUGUUCAUCAACAGAUAAAGAGAUAAACAAAUUUUGUAUAUUCAUACAAUGCUUUCUUGUCAUUGUUCUUAGGCACA